UUUGAGAACAAGAGCUAGCAUGAAAAGCUAGCUAGCACCAUGUGUUCGUGAUAAUUCCCCCCGAGAGAGAGAGAGAGAGAGAGAGGAUAUCCAUUAAUUAGUCUCUCUCUAAGAGAUGGCACGCAAUACCUUGGAUUUUUCUUCAGCCUUUCAACGGAAACACCCAACAGCAAUCAUCAUGCCCUCUUCCUCGCCCUUCCCUCUGACCCUCCACCUCCAUCAUUACCCCCUCAACACUCCCACCCAUUCCUUUUUCAUCAUCAUCCACCAACCCCCUGAUGAUGAUCUUCACCAUCACCUACAACACUCUCAAAAUCUAGAAGAAGCAGCAAAAGAAGGAGGAGAAGCAGAAGCAGAAGCAGAAGCAGCAGCAGCAGCAGAAGAAGAAGGUUUCCUUGUUUAUGAGAAAACCCUACUUUUAAGUUUCAAUCUUUUAUGAUUGAAGGGUCUUUUUCAUUAAAGAAUCCAGCAGCUCUUGCAUGCUCUCGGGGAAUCAAGCGUCUCGGUCCGAUCGUUCGCUAGAUCAAGCUAUUACAACUAUAUAAGAUGUCGUACAAGAGGGACACGAAGAUAAUCAACGCUGCAUCGUUCACCGUCCAGAGGGAGGACCACACAAUCGGCAACAUUCUUUGCAUGCAAUUGAACAGGAAUCCGAAUGUUUUAUCCGCUGGGUACAAGCUUCCUCAAUUAAAUUAAAUUGUUUUUAUAAAUUCCAAUGUAUGCUUGCUUACAAGGAUGAUGUCGCGGUCGCACCAAGGGAUCUGAUCGUCGCUGGCGAAGAAUGAACCGAUGGAGUCGAAGAAAUAGCUGAUCUUGGCGUCCAUGGCGUUUGGUUUACGGAAAUUCAAGUUGCAGUGCUUUAUUUCAGGAGUGAAAAUUUUAAAAAACUAGAAACUUCUUUUUUUUUUUAAAUAAAAAGAAUAAAAAGAAAAACGAUAAUUGAAAUAGACACUUGGCAAUAACAUAAAGAAUCCGCGUGGUAGUAGUGCGAUGUGGCAUGCCCGUCUACUGUAGACUAUUGUUGACAAUAAUUGGAAUAAAAAAUAGAAUCUUGAACUAUUAUGCUUA